rnacentral:rRNA from 1 species
CCUACGGGGUGCAGCAGUGGGGAAUAUUGCGCAAUGGGCGAAAGCCUGACGCAGCGACGCCGCGUGAGGGAUGAAGGUCUUCGGAUCGUAAACCUCUGUCAGCAGGGAAGAACGGUCACUGUGCUAAUCAGCAGUGAAUUGACGGUACCUGCAAAGGAAGCACCGGCUAACUCCGUGCCAGCAGCCGCGGUAAUACGGAGGGUGCGAGCGUUAAUCGGAAUUACUGGGCGUAAAGCGCUCGUAGGCGGUAUGUCAAGUCAAGGGUGAAAUCCCCGCGCUCAACGUGGGAACUGCCUUUGAAACUGGCAAACUGGAGUGUGUUAGAGGAUAGUGGAAUUCCAGGUGUAGGAGUGAAAGCCGUAGAUAUCUGGAGGAACAUCAGUGGCGAAGGCGACUAUCUGGCACAUAACUGACGCUGAGGAGCGAAAGCGUGGGUAGCAAACAGGAUUAGAUACCCCAGUAGUC